rnacentral:rRNA from 1 species
UGGGGAAUAUUGCACAAUGGGCGCAAGCCUGAUGCAGCCAUGCCGCGUGUAUGAAGAAGGCCUUCGGGUUGUAAAGUACUUUCAGCGGGGAGGAAGGGAGUAAAGUUAAUACCUUUGCUUAUUGACGUUACCCGCAGAAGAAGCACCGGCUAACUCCGUGCCAGCAGCCGCGGUAAUACGGAGGGUGCAAGCGUUAAUCGGAAUUACUGGGCGUAAAGCGCACGCAGGCGGUUUGUUAAGUCAGAUGUGAAAUCCUCGGGCUCAACCUGGGAACUGCAUCUGAUACUGGCAAGCUUGAGUCUCGUAGAGGGGGGUAGAAUUCCAGGUGUAGCGGUGAAAUGCGUAGAGAUCUGGAGGAAUACCGGUGGCGAAGGCGGCCCCCUGGACGAAGACUGACGCUCAGGUGCGAAAGCGUGGGGAGCAAACAGG